rnacentral:rRNA from 1 species
AGAGUUUGAUCAUGGCUCAGGAUGAACGCUGGCGGCGUGCCUAAUACAUGCAAGUCGAGCGCGAGAAUGAGGAGCUUGCUCCUAUGAUCGAGCGGCGGACGGGUGAGUAACACGUAGGCAACCUACCCUUGAGAUUGGGAUAACUACCGGAAACGGUAGCUAAUACCGGAUACGACUUUUCCACAUAAGUGGAAUGGUUAAAAGGCGGAUUUAUCUGCCGCUCAUGGAUGGGCCUGCGGUGCAUUAGCUAGUUGGUGAGGUAGUGGCUCACCAAGGCGACGAUGCAUAGCCGACCUGAGAGGGUGAUCGGCCACACUGGGACUGAGACACGGCCCAGACUCCUACGGGAGGCAGCAGUAGGGAAUCUUCCGCAAUGGACGAAAGUCUGACGGAGCAACGCCGCGUGAGUGAUGAAGGGUUUCGGCUCGUAAAACUCUGUUGUUAAGGAAGAACACUUGAGGUAGUAACUGGCCUUGAGAUGACGGUACUUAACCAGAAAGCCACGGCUAA